rnacentral:rRNA from 1 species
CCUACGGGUGGCUGCAGUGGGGAAUAUUGGACAAUGGGGGGAACCCUGAUCCAGCCAUGCCGCGUGUGUGAAGAAGGCCCUCGGGUUGUAAAGCACUUUCAGUGAGGAAGAACGCCUGGUGGUUAAUACCCAUCAGGAAAGACAUCACUCACAGAAGAAGCACCGGCUAACUCCGUGCCAGCAGCCGCGGUAAUACGGAGGGUGCGAGCGUUAAUCGGAAUUACUGGGCGUAAAGCGCGCGUAGGUGGCUUGAUAAGCCGGUUGUGAAAGCCCCGGGCUCAACCUGGGAACGGCAUCCGGAACUGUCAAGCUAGAGUGCAGGAGAGGAAGGUAGAAUUCCCGGUGUAGCGGUGAAAUGCGUAGAGAUCGGGAGGAAUACCAGUGGCGAAGGCGGCCUUCUGGACUGACACUGACACUGAGGUGCGAAAGCGUGGGUGGCAAACAGGAUUAGAUACCCCUGUAGUC